GUUUUUCUGACAACAGGCUAGUAUGACAAGUAAAGCUUAGAAAUAAGAUAGUCUAAUCUAUCUCGAGUUGAAAAACCAUACCUGAUAUACAUGGUUUAGCAGUUAAUGUCUGUAUCAGCAUGCUUUUUUAUAUGAAAUGUAGCAAUGUCUAAUACAAAACAAAUCGUUAGUAGUCAUUUCAUUAUUAAACAACAACCAGUCUUGGAGAACAUGAUUGUUAUUAGUUGUAAUUGGUUUUGAAAUAGCUUUCAAUAACCGAGAGUACACCAUACCAACAUUUUUAGUGAAGAUAAUUGCAACUGAUAUUUAACAUUUUUUCUAAUGGUGUGAUGUCCAAGGGUGGAUUGUUUGGGGGAGGG
rnacentral:lncRNA from 1 species